rnacentral:rRNA from 1 species
CCCUUAGAUGUUCUGGACCGCACGCGUGCUACACUGAGUGGAUCAGCGGGUCAGGUUACGCGAGAGCGUUUCCUAAUCUUCAAAUCCGCUCGUGAUGGGGAUUGACGGUUGCAAUUUUCCGUCAUGAACGAGGAAUACCUUGUAAGCGCGGGUCAUCAUCCCGCGCUGAAUACGUCCCUGCCCUUUGUACACACCGCCCGUCGCUCCUACCGAUUGAGUGGUCCGGUGAGGCUUUGGGAUCUAAGCGAAAAGAGCGUUUCGCUCCUUUUGCUGGGAGAACUCAGUCGAACCUUAUCAUUUAGAGGAAGGAGAAGUCGUAACA